rnacentral:misc_RNA from 1 species
GAUGAAGAACGCAGCGAAAUGCGAUAAGUAGUGUGAAUUGCAGAAUUCAGUGAAUCAUCGAAUCUUUGAACGCACAUUGCGCCCCUUGGUAUUCCAUGGGGCAUGCCUGCUCGAGCGUCAUUUGUACCUUCAAGCUCUGCUUGGUGUUGGGUGUUUGUCUCGCCUCUGCGUGUAGACUCGCCUCAAAACAAUUGGCAGCCGGCGUAUUGAUUUCGGAGCGCAGUACAUCUCGCGCUUUGCACUCAUAACGACGACGUCCAAAAGUACAUUUUUACACUCUUGACCUCGGAUCAGGUAGGGAUACCCGCUGAACUUAAGCAUAUCAAUAAGCGGAGGA